GACAAGAAAAGCUGUAUGAAUAUCUUAGGUGCCCGUACCGCAAACCGACACAGGUAGAUAGGAAGAAGAUUCUAAGGCCAACGGGAGAAGGGUUGUUAAGGAACUCGGCAAGUUGACCCCGUAACUUAGGGAUAAGGGGUGCUCAAGUGAUUGAGCCGCAGAGAAUAGGCCCAGGCGACUGUUUAGCAAAAACACAGGUCUCUGCUAAAUCGAAAGAUGACGUAUAGGGGCUGACACCUGCCCGGUGCCGGAAGGUUAAGAGGAGAUGUGUGAGCAUUGAAUUGAAGCCCCGGUAAACGGCGGCCGUAACAAUAACGGUCCUAAGGUAGCGAAAUUCCUUGUCAGGUAAGUUCUGACCCGCACGAAAGGUGUAACGAUCUGGGCACUGUCUCAACAACCCGCCCGGCGAAAUUGUAGUACCGGUGAAGAUGCCGGUUACCCGCGACUAGACGGAAAGACCCCAUGGAGCUUUACUGUAGCCUAAUAUUGGAUUUCGGUAUUUCACGUACAGGAUAGGUGGGAGACUGGGAAGCACAGGCGUCAGCUUGUGUGGAGUCGACCUUGGGAUACCACUCUUGGAGUGCUGGAAUUCUAACCUGCGGCUUUGAAGCAAGUCGGGGGACAUUGUUAGGUGGGCAGUUUGACUGGGGCGGUCGCCUCCUAAAGAGUAACGGAGGCGCUCAAAGGUUCGCUCUGCAUGGAUGGAAACCAUGCGUCAGAGUGUAAACGCAAAAGCGAGCCUAACUGCGAGAAUGACGGUUCGAGCAGUAACGAAAGUUGGAGUUAGUGAUCCGGCGGUAUGUGAAUGGAAAUGCCGUCGCUCAACGGAUAAAAGCUACCCUGGAUAACAGGCUGAUCUCCCCCAAGAGUCCACAUCGACGGGGAGGUUUGGCACCUCGAUGUCGGCUCAUCGCAUCCUGGGGCUGAAUUCGGUCCCAAGGGUUUGGCUGUUCGCCAAUUAAAGCGGUACGCGAGCUGGGUUCAGAACGUCGUGAGACAGUUCGGUCCCUAUCUGUCGUGGGCGUAGGAUAUUUGCAAGGAGCUGUCCCUAGUACGAGAGGACAGGGAUGGACGCACCUCUGGUGCACCAGUUGUCACGCCAGUGGCACAGCUGGGCAGCUAUGUGCGGAACGGAUAAACGCUGAAGGCAUCUAAGCGUGAAGCCGCCCUUAAGAUAAGAUAUCCCUUCUGUUUACAGAGUAAGACCCCUUGAAGACUACAAGGUUGAUAGGCUCAAAGUGUAAGCACGGUGACGUGUUUAGCUAGCGAGUACUAAUCGGUCGAGGGCUUAACC
rnacentral:rRNA from 1 species